GAGGGUAUAACUCAAAUGGUAGAGCACAUGCUUAGCAUACACAAGGUCCUGGGUUCAAUUCCCAGUACCUGCU
rnacentral:tRNA from 1 species